UAACAGAAACUUCAGAGUUUUCUGUUUUCUGGAGUAGUGUUAUGUGGAGGACUGAGAAAUAGUCUUUUCCAAGACUUCACAUCUGAUACAGCGUUGCUUUUUUUAAAAAGAGUUUAUAGUCCAAACUUGCAACAAUAAAUCUUGAAAUUUUUCACAAAAAUACGCACACAAAAAAAUCUCUCAAAGUAAGUUUGUUAUUUGUUAUCACAUUUUUGAGUUUUUAUUUAAAUUAACUGAGUACGUAUACAUUAAUGUGUAAUAAGUGUUUUCAAUAAUUUUAUUACAUUUUUAUGUUGAAUUCCUUAUCUUAUUGUUGAUCGUUUUCUAAAAGCCAAAAGGAAGUUUUGUUAAUUUUUAUACCAUUUACUAAAAGCUAUACAAUAAAAAAACAAUUCCAUUUGAUUUUAUAAAAUACUUCCAAUACUUUUUACCCAGCUAACACAUGCUUAAUUGGGCCGAUGUUGGUUUAACGUUGGAUCGGAUGACUAACGUUGAGCCGACGAAGUGCCAACGCGAUGAAAUUCUACGAAGAUUUUCACCGCGUUGGCCCUACGUUGGGCCAAUUUACUUUCAAAAAUCUACUUUUGCGGCUUGUCGAACUAUUCGCACAAAGCAUUUUUAUAAAGCAUUUUAUUCUCCAUUUUAAAAUAGAUUGCUUUUUAUAAUAGUAUCGUUGUAAAUCUUUAUGAAAAGCAAAUGAACUUUUUAGUUCUCUGCAGGGAUAUUAUAGCAUCGCGUGGAUAGAAAUGUGCAGCUACACAUUCAAAGGCUUCAAUACAAUAUCUAUAUUAUGGGUUUUGGAAAAAAAAAAUUAAAUUUUAAUAAGUUUGAUAGAAAUCGUGAUACAACUAAUGUUCUUAAAGGUUCUGAUAAAAUUUAUAAUGUUAAUAUUAUUGUUUA